AAUAUUGGUCAAUGGGCGGAAUCCUGAACCAGCCAUGCCGCGUGCAGGAGGACUGCCCUCUGGGUUGUAAACUGCUGUUAUACGCGAAUAACCUUUCCGACAUGUCGGGACCUGAAUGUAGCGUAGGAAUAAGGAUCGGCUUAGCACGUGCCCGCAGCCGAGAUAAUACGAAGGAUCCGAGCGCUAUCAGGAUUUAUUGGUUUUAAAGGGUGCGUAGGCGGCACAUUAAGUCAGGGGUGAAAUUCGGCAGCUCAACUGUCGGCGUGCCUUUGAUACUGGUGUGCUUGAAUUGGUUCGAGGUCGGCGGAAUGUGACAAGUAGCGGUGAAAUGCAUAGAUAUGUCACAGAACUCCAAUUGCGAAGGCAGCUGACCAGGUCCAUAUUGACGCUGAUGCACGAAAGCGUGGGUAUCGAACA
rnacentral:rRNA from 1 species